rnacentral:rRNA from 1 species
CCUACGGGCGGCAGCAGUGGGGAAUAUUGGACAAUGGGGGGAACCCUGAUCCAGCCAUGCCGCGUGUGUGAAGAAGGCCCUCGGGUUGUAAAGCACUUUCAGUGAGGAAGAACGCCUGGUGGUUAAUACCCAUCAGGAAAGACAUCACUCACAGAAGAAGCACCGGCUAACUCCGUGCCAGCAGCCGCGGUAAUACGGAGGGUGCGAGCGUUAAUCGGAAUUACUGGGCGUAAAGCGCGCGUAGGUGGCUUGAUAAGCCGGUUGUGAAAGCCCCGGGCUCAACCUGGGAACGGCAUCCGGAACUGUCAAGCUAGAGUGCAGGAGAGGAAGGUAGAAUUCCCGGUGUAGCGGUGAAAUGCGUAGAGAUCGGGAGGAAUACCAGUGGCGAAGGCGGCCUUCUGGACUGACACUGACACUGAGGUGCGAAAGCGUGGGUAGCAAACAGGAUUAGAUACCCGUGUAGUU